CCCUAGUAACGGCGAGUGAAGCGGCAACAGCUCAAAUUUGAAAUCUGGCGCAAGCCCGAGUUGUAAUUUGUAGAGGAUGUUUCUGGCGACGUGCCUUCCGAGUUCCCUGGAACGGGACGCCAUAGAGGGUGAGAGCCCCGUACGGUUGGAUGCCUAGCCUCUGUGAAACUCCUUCGACGAGUCGAGUAGUUUGGGAAUGCUGCUCUAAAUGGGAGGUAUACGUCUUCUAAAGCUAAAUACCGGCCAGAGACCGAUAGCGCACAAGUAGAGUGAUCGAAAGAUGAAAAGCACUUUGAAAAGAGGGUUAAAAAGUACGUGAAAUUGUUGAAAGGGAAGCGUUCAUGACCAGACUUGGGCAGGUUGAUCAUCCGUGGUUCUCCGCGGUGCACUCUGCCUGCCCAGGCCAGCAUCAGUUCGCCCCGGGGGAUAAAGGUUUCGGGAAUGUGGCUCCUCCGGGAGUGUUAUAGCCCGUUGCGUAAUACCCUGGGACGGACUGAGGUUCGCGCUCUGCAAGGAUGCUGGCGUAAUGGUCAUCAACGACCCGUCUUGAAACACGGACCAAGGAGUCGUCUUCGUAUGCGAGUGUUCGGGUGUCAAACCCCUACGCGUAAUGAAAGUGAACGUAGGAGAGAGCUUCGGCGCAUCUCCGACCGAUCCUGAUGUUCUCGGAUGGAUUUGAGUAAGAGCAUACGGGGCCGGACCCGAAAGAAGGUGAACUAUGCCUGUAUAGGGUGAAGCCAGAGGAAACUCUGGUGGAGGCUCGCAGCGGUUCUGACGUGCAAAUCGAUCGUCAAAUAUGGGCAUGGGGGGCGAA
rnacentral:rRNA from 1 species